rnacentral:tRNA from 1 species
UGGGGUUGUGGCUCAGUGGUAGAGUGCUCACCUAGCACACUUGAGGCACUGAGUUCGAUCCUCAGCACCACAA